GUGCAUAAAAGGGAAAUUGGAUAAUUAUGCUUUGUCUGGUCAAAACCCUAGAAAAGCUGGGAGAAGAGGACCGGAGCACGAAGGCGAAGCUCCUCAAUUCGGAAAACAGAGAUUCUUCUGCUCAAUCGAUCGUUAUCAAUCCUCCUUGUUGAAGAUAGAUGCCUUCGGAAAUGGCUGGUCAGAGGAAUAGCUAUGGCAAGCGAGCUCAUUCUCACUCUGAUUACGACAAUGGGGGCAGGAAAAGAAGGAACCCAGGUGAUGAUAGAGAGCAGUUUGUUAUAAAUUCUGAUGACACUGUUUAUCGGUGUCUAUGUCCCGGAAGAAAGAUUGGAAGCAUUAUUGGGAAGGGAGGAGAGAUUGUCAAGCAACUGAGAAUAGACACUAAGGCUAAGAUUAGGAUUGGAGAGACUGUACCAGGAUCUGAGGAGCGAGUGGUCACUAUCUACAGUACUAGUGAGGAGACCAAUUCCUUUGAAGAUGGCGAAAACUAUGUUUGUCCUGCUCAGGAUGCUCUGUUCAGGAUACAUGAGCGGGUUACUUCCGAAGAGAUGGGUGAUGAAGACUCUUCUGAAGCUCCGCCGAUCACUGCUCGUCUCCUUGUUCCCUCUGAUCAGAUUGGAUGCAUUAUCGGGAGAGGUGGGCAGAUAGUUCAAAGUAUUCGCACUGAAACUGGAGCCCAGAUACGGAUUCUUAAGGAUGACCAUCUGCCUUCUUGUGCGUUAAACUCUGACGAACUUGUACAGAUAUCUGGGGAAGCUGCAGUGGUGAAGAAGGCUCUGUUUCAGAUUGCAUCUCGUUUACAUGAUAAUCCCUCGAGAUCUCAGCACUUGCUCACUUCCGCUGCGCCUAAUGUUUUUUCUUCUGGCAGUUCUCUCAUGGCCCCUUCUGGUGGCGCACCAAUAGUGGGAAUGGCACCCUUGAUCAGUCCCUAUGGAGGAUACAAAGGCGAGACUGGAGACUGGUCCCGUUCCUUGUAUGCAGCUCCAAGGGAUGAAGAGACCACAAAAGAGUUCUCUCUUCGCCUGGUUUGUCCAGUUGCAAAUAUUGGUGGUGUGAUCGGUAAGGGCGGGCUGAUAAUCAAUCAGAUUAGGCAGGAGUCAGGGGCAGCUAUCAAAGUAGAUAGCUCCACAACUGAAGGAGAUGAUUGCUUGAUCAAUAUCUCAGCAAGAGAGGUUUUUGAAGAUCCAUUCUCUCCUGCAAUUGAAGCUGCAGUUCGUUUACAGCCAAGAUGCAGUGAGAAGAUCGAGAGGGACUCGGGGCUUAUCUCGUUCACUACCCGUAUGCUUGUGCCGACCUCAAGAAUUGGCUGUCUUAUUGGCAAAGGCGGGGCUAUAAUUAGUGAAAUGAGGAGGCUCACUAAGGCUAAUAUUCGCAUACUCUCAAAAGAAAACCUUCCCAAGGUUGCAUCUGAGGAUGAUGAGAUGGUGCAGAUCUCUGGAGAUCUUGAAAUUGCAAAAGAUGCUCUUGUACAAGUAACUACGCGGUUGAGAGCCAAUAUGUUUGACCGGGAAGGUGCAAUGUCAGCUUUCAUGCCAGUUCUGCCAUACCUUCCGAUGCCUGCAGACGGUUCAGAUCCUCUGCCUUAUGAUAGCAGAGAAAGUAAAAGGACUGCCCGUGGGCACUCUUAUUCUAGUGGUGGCUAUGGUGGAUCAAGUGAGCUGCCCAUUUCCGACAGUUAUGGGGGUUAUGGCAGUUCGCAGGUGCAUGAUCGGGUUGGUGGUGGUGGAAGUGUUUAUGGUGUAUAUGGGAGUGGCUAUUCCUCAGGACGUACUAGUUCCUCUGGGCUAUCUGGGCAGACUCCUGUUUCCCGUCGGAAAAGUUACGGUUACUAGGAUUUGGUCGAUCUGAUUCCACAGAUUCUCUCUGGUUCUCCAGGUUAGUGGAAGUGUACAGAUGAAUGAGAAAUGCAUUCGGCUUUGAAGGCGAGGUUCAGCUGCAACAAUGCGGGGCUUCCUUGAAAGGUUUGCUAAAGGUUUAAUUUAGUUAUAGUAGAAGGGCACUCAUGAGUUUCCAGAAAAGUAGGAAGAAACAUGAUUAAAUGCAUGAUAUAUGGCUCAUACAUGGUAAAGAUAGAUCAACUCAUUAUAUUACUGUGGUUACACCUUGUCUCUGCUGUCUGCACUGGUGGGGUCAAUACAUGUGACAUGCGAGUCCACGUAACUCUUGACCGCAACUAUGCUGCAUUUACAUGUAUACUGAAUUUCAGGUAUGAUAAUCCCUUUCUUUAAAAGGUUUGUUUUGUUCAUUUUCUUUUUCUUCUGUUCAUAAAGUUGAACAAUGAAGGAGAAAGUGGAAAUCACUAAACCGGGCAAGUAGUCUUCUGUUUUCAGGUGACCUUCUGCGUGGUUUGCCUUUACGUUGUCGGACUGUUCUGGUUAUUCUUCUCAAGGGUUUGUUAUGGUCAUCUCCAUUCCUGGUGGAAAGGAGCAUGGGAGAUCUUUGGAUUUUCAUGUAGGGUUCUCCAAUCAUCGCCAAGACUCAAAUCCAAAUUUCUCCUGGAUCCUUGGGGUGGCUUUUGAGUUUUUGUGGAUAGGGAAGUAGUGGGUAAUUUUCUUUAAUUGAAGAUGUUUCGUCUGAUGGAAGAAGAAAAUUGAUAACUAUGCUAGCAAAACUUGGUUCUUUCAUUCUUUUUGUUUGUGUGCGCAAAAAUAAAAUGGGAGGUUCUCCUGUCUUAUGGGCUGUUUGGAUUGCAGGUUAUGGAGGGGUGGGAUCAUGAAGGGUUAUGCUCCGACCCUUUCAUAAUCUGCAGUCUGAACAAGCUGUUAUGGGAAUCACUCCGGCUCUUUGCUAGCUGUUGGAUCAAUUUUCAUGGUGGGGGUUGCAUCAGAAAAGAUGAUGUAAGUGCACGCAGGCACAUGGAGGUGGUUCCUUGAAUUGGACCAGAUAACUAUAUGAGGAUUGUUUCGAAGAGCUUCUGUAUCGCCAGUUCAUUGACUACAACUACUCUGGAACCGUGAAAAGGAGUCAUCAGUCUCUUCUGUAUUUGCUAGCAAGAGUGCUAUGCAUGCUGACUGGACCGUCUGAUUGGUUCGUAUUUAUUAGAAUAUAUUUCGGUAUCAUGUAUUCUUCGGAAGAUACUAAUAGUUCAUAUGUUGUCAACGCGAUGUGAGGGCUCACAAUGCAAGUGCGAUGUGCUUACCAGGUCACGAGGCUUGUCCAAUCCUAUUGUAUGGCGACCCGCAGCAUACAUGGCGGGUGUUCUCUAGGAUUGGAAUCACAAUCAUGCACUAUCUAUGCAUUUUUGGAGGGCUUACUUAUUGAAUGUGGAUACUGUGGAUCGCAAGAGCGAACUUUUUAGAAUGUAUAGCUGCUGAAAUUUAAUAGCAUUUGCGUAUCGGCUUGACUCGUGAAAAGCACGUCGCAGUGAUUUCCUGCGUUGUGAGGGUGAUGUUACACAGGUAAUCUAUGUUGUUGCAGUGUCCUUGGACCACUA